rnacentral:rRNA from 1 species
AUUGAACGCUGGCGGCAGGCCUAACACAUGCAAGUCGAACGAGUGGCGGACGGGUGAGUAAUGUCUGGGAAACUGCCUGAUGGAGGGGGAUAACUACUGGAAACGGUAGCUAAUACCGCAUACCAUCAGAUGUGCCCAGAUGGGAUUAGCUAGUUGGUGGGGUAACGGCUCACCAAGGCGACGUUCCCUAGCUGGUCUGAGAGGAUGACCAGCCAGACGGGAACUGAGACACGGUCCAGACUCCACCGGGAGGGAGCGGUGGGAAAUAUUGGACAAUGGGCGCAAGCCUGAUGCAGCCAUGCCGCGUGUAUGAAGAAGGCCUUCGGGUUGUAAAGUACUUUCAGCAGGGAGGCGUUACCCGCAGAAGAAGCACCGGCUAACUCCGUGCCAGCCGCCGCGGUAAUAC